CGGGACCUACGGGGGGCAGCAGUGGGGAAUAUUGGUCAAUGGGCGCGAGCCUGAACCAGCCAAGUCGCGUGAGGGAGGACGGCCCUACGGGUUGUAAACCUCUUUUGCCGGGGAGCAACGGGCGUCACGUGUGGCGCCACUGAGAGUACCCGGAGAAAAAGCAUCGGCUAACUCCGUGCUAGCAGCCGCGGUAAUACGGAGGAUGCGAGCGUUAUCCGGAUUUAUUGGGUUUACAGGGUGCGUAGGCGGAUCGUUAAGGCAGUGGUCUAAUUGAGGGGCUCAACCCCUUCCCGCCAUUGAAACUG
rnacentral:rRNA from 1 species